UAACACCUCAGACCCUUUGCCGUUCUUGACAUAUAUCUGAAAUUUUUAUUUGAUCACUAAUGGAAGGAACUAAGAAAAGACACAUAGUCUUAGUAAAGUGAGUGAGGACUUGGGAAGCUCUUUUAUCCAUUUUGCUCAGCUCACACUGAGAAAAAUGUCUCAAUUAUUUCUACCUCUAUAAUACAGAAGGCCCUGGAGCGGGGAAAGAAGAAAAAAGCCUACUGCAAAGGGAAAAUGCCUUAUGAUGCAGAGCGUUGCACUUGGAACUGAGAGUUUAGAUUCAAAUUCCAGCUCUGCCAGUGGGGCCUUGGGUUCUUUCCUAGAAAGAAAGCCACUAGGUGAUGGAGAUUUGGUAAUAACCGAGAUUUCUUUGCUGUGUGAUCUGGGGCUGGCCCCCUGAGCCAAACUCCCUGAGCUCCUUGCUCCAGAGAUUGAAGAAGCAACCAACGGGCAACUAGAGGUAAAAAUUCUUGGCAGAUUAUAAAGCACUAGUAUAAUGACGGCUUUGUUAUGAGCUAUGCAUGAACAGGAUUACAAUUUUACAUUAUUUUACCUCAUACGAUUCUCAUUGAAGUGGGUGCCAUAAUCUACUCUUCCAAAGAAAGGGG
rnacentral:lncRNA from 1 species